rnacentral:rRNA from 1 species
GAUGAACGCUAGCGGCAGGCUUAAUACAUGCAAGUCGAGGGGCAGCAUGACUGUAGCAAUACAGUUGAUGGCGACCGGCAAACGGGUGCGGAACACGUACAGAACCUUCCUUCGAGCGGGGAAUAGCCCAGAGAAAUGUGGAUUAAUACCCCAUAGUAGAUUUGAAAGGCAUCUUUUAACUAUUCAAGAUUUGUUACUUGAAGAUGGCGGUGCGGCUGAUUAGGUAGUUGGCGGGGUAACGGCCCACCAAGCCUGCGAUCAGUAACUGGGGUGAGAACACCACCAGUCACACGGGCAAUGAGACACGGGCCCAACUACUACGGGAGGCAGCAGUAAGGAAUAUUGGUCAAUGAACGAAAGUCUGAACCAGCCAUGCCGCGUGGAGGAUGAAGGUCCUCUGGAUUGUAAACUUCUUUUAUAUGGGACGAAAAAAGACUUUUCUAAGUCGUCUGACGGUACCAUAUGAAUAAGCACCGGCUAACUCCGUGCCAGCAGCCGCGGUAAUAC